UGUUAAAAAUUUCAUCCAUUUGUGCUGUUAAAAACUGGCAUGGCUAAUAGAAUAGCCAAAUAGUGAUAUGUGAUGUGCCAUGUAUACCUCGUACUGACAUACAAAGACUAGUUUUUAACAAUAGAAAUUGAUGGAUGUUUCAACA
rfam:Gossypium arboreum cultivar AKA8401 contig_6934_1, whole genome shotgun sequence.